CCUACGGGUGGCAGCAGUGGGGAAUAUUGGGCAAUGGGCGAAAGCCUGACCCAGCAACGCCGCGUGAAGGAAGAAGGCUUUCGGGUUGUAAACUUCUUUUGACAGGGAAGAGCAGAAGACGGUACCUGUCGAAUAAGCCACGGCUAACUACGUACCAGCAGCCACGGUCAUACGUAGGUCGCCAGCGUUGUCCGGAUUUACUGGGUGUAAAGGGCGUGUAGCCGGGCUGACAAGUCAGAUGUGAAAGCCGGGGGCUCAACCCCCGAACUGCAUUUGAAACUGGUGGUCUUGAGUAUCGGAGAGGCAGGCGGAAUUCCGAGUGUAGCGGUGAAAUGCGUAGAUAUUAGGAGGAACACCAGUGGCGAAGGCGGCCUGCGGGACGACAACUGACGGUGAGGCGCGAAAGCGUGGGGAGCAAACAGGAUUAGAUACCCGAGUAGUC
rnacentral:rRNA from 1 species